rnacentral:tRNA from 1 species
AGAAACUUAGGCUAACCA